CUAUACAUAUAUUAUCAACAAUUAUAAUACAAUGAACUUUCUUUUUCUCAUUUUUAAGUUACCCAACAGCCAAAGGUGUUUAAGAUGGUCAAGACCACAAAACACCAGCAUCUAAGAGCACAUUUAUACUCCAUUUGCUUCAUAAUGAGCAGAUUCUUAGAAACAUAUAAACUUCAAAAGUGCUAAUCGAUUUGUACUUUUAACAACCCCCCCAAAAA
rnacentral:lncRNA from 1 species